CUAGGUAAUAUGAUAGGGAUCGAAUAUGAACAUUAUUAUAAAAUAUAAAAAUUAAAUACUAUAUUUGAUUAUUAUUAUUUGUACCUCAAGUGCACCUGGUCCUAGUCUAUCAAAAACACUUUUCCUAGGCGCACUGGUAUCUGUAAUCUUUUUAGAACCUUCCACUGUCACUUUCCUCGUUAAUCGCGAGCCAGACAUCAUCAAAUAUCCACCAAUUUCACACUCUUGUAGUAUAAACUUCUCUUCACAAAGACGCCAUGUUUUUAAAUCUCUCCUAUUCGCAGGCCGGAAG